rnacentral:rRNA from 1 species
CCUACGGGUGGCAGCAGUGGGGAAUAUUGCACAAUGGAGGAAACUCUGAUGCAGCGAUGCCGCGUGAAUGAAGAAGGACCUCGGAGCGUAAAGCUCUGUUAGCAGGAAGGACGAUGACGAUACCAGAGGAAGAAUCAACGGCUAACAACGGGCCAGCAGCCGCGGUAAUACGUAGGUGGCAAGCGUUAUCCGGAGUUAGUGGGUGUAAAGGGUGUGUAGGCGGGGACGCAAGUCAGAUGUGAAAACCCCGGGCUCAACCUGUGGACUGCAUUUGAAACUGUGUUUCUUGAGUGCUGUAGAGGCAGACGGAAUUCCUAGUGUAGCGGUGAAAUGCGUAGAUAUUAGGAGGAACACCAGUGGCGAAGGCGGUCUACUGGACUGCAACUGACGCUGAGGCACGAAAGCGUGGGGAGCAAACAGGAUUAGAUACCCCAGUAGUC